rnacentral:rRNA from 1 species
AGGACGAACACUGGCGGCGUGCUUAACACAUGCAAGUCGAACGGUAAGGCCCCUUCGGGGGGUACACGAGUGGCGAACGGGUGAGUAACACGUGGGUAAUCUGCCCUGCACUUCGGGAUAAGCCUGGGAAACUGGGUCUAAUACCGGAUAUGAGCUCCUGCCGCAUGGUGGGGGUUGGAAAGUUUUUCGGUGCAGGAUGAGUCCGCGGCCUAUCAGCUUGUUGGUGGGUAAUGGCCUACCAAGGCGACGACGGGUAGCCGGCCUGAGAGGGUGAUCGGCCACACUGGGACUGAGACACGGCCCAGACUCCUACGGGAGCAGCAGUGGGGAAUAUUGCACAAGUGGGACGGAAGCCUGAUGCAGCGACGGCCGCGGUGGGGGAUGGACGUCUUCGGAUUACGUUAAACCCCGUUCAAGGUAGGGAACGAAGGCGAAAGUGAACGGUACCUGCAAGAAGAAGACGAACCGACUAACUACGUGCCAGCACGCCGCGGUAACUCGUAGGAGGUACGGCGUGGACGAAGGACGCCUAA